UGAUCUCCGUCUCAAAGCCAAUCUCAGGCUCUCUUUUAGGAGGGUGAAUCCUGACAAUGCAGUACCUGGUAAGACUCUGCAGACUUGUGCCAACCAACUGCGAUGGUUGGAAGUUCUCACCUACUUCAAAAGGGCAACAAUUAUACCAGUACGCAAGUGUGAGCUGCCUUAAUGACAAUCGUCCAGUAGCACUCACAUCUAAGGUGAUGAAGUGCUUUGAGAGCUUGGUCAUAGCCAGAAUCAAUUCUGCCUCAGCAAGGACCUGGACCCACACCAAUUUGCCUACUGCCACAUUAGGUCAAUGGCAGACGCGAUCUCAGUGGCUCUUCACACGGCCUUGCAUCACCUGGAGAGUACAAACACCCGCUUAUUUAUGCAAAUAUUGAAUCAGCCAAUUAUGUGGCAGGAUCUCAAUGCAUAAAAGCAUGCAGACAUGGUCAAGCAGUUCAGUUGUUGUUCAGACCAAACAUCAGAAUGGGGAAGAAAUGGGAUCCAAGUGACUUUGACUGUGAAAUGAUUAUUGGUGCCAGAUGGGGUGGUUUGAGUAUCUCAGAAACUGCUGAUCUCCUGGCGUUUCCACACACAACCGUCUCUGGAGUUUACAGAAACUGGGGUGAAAAACAGUAGAAAAUUCCAGCGAGUGGCCGUUCUAUGGGUGAAAACGCCUUGUUAAUGAGAGAGAUCAGAGGAGAAUUGCUGCACAGACAGGAAGGAGACAGUAACUCAAAUAACCACACAUCACAACAGUGGUGUGCUGAAGAGCAUCUCUGAAUGCAAAACAUGUUGAACUUCGAAGUGAUUGGUCUACAGCAGCUGAAGAUGUUGGAGUCCCUAAUACGGAUGCCUAAUAAAGUGGCCACUGAGUGUAUUAAACAGUAUUUUAGCCAUCCUAUUAAAAUCUCCUCCCGUGGACAUUACGCUGGUAUCUUAGGAGCCUCUGUGCGUUGCCUCGGGGCGCCUUACAGCGACUGGAAUCACCAAGUUGGUGCAAGUAAAUGUGAAACUGAAAGCCGGUGUUUCAACAUAAAAUCAGAAAAUGUUAUAAUUACUAAGCAGAUCUUAUGACGGUCGUGGGGUUCAAAUAUUCAAUCCGUUUCACUCCACAGUCGCUGCUGAAUAUUUAUCCAGUGUUUGGUUGUGUUUUAACAUGCCUAUUGUAUAUAAAGGAAGCAUGGAGGUUAGUUUUAUAAUGGAGGGACGAUUGUGAGUCGGCAAAGGGGCAGCGAACAUGCCGUCACAGAGGGCUUUUUGAUUGAAAUAUGCAGGGAGGGCGUGUUGUGCGGAGAGCCCCGAGAUGGUUGGGUCUCACUGGGAACGGUGACGUUCCGAGCCGAGGAAGUGCUGCGCACUUCGGGAGCAUCCGUUGGACUUUGUCCGGCUGUCGGAGACGGUGUCGGCAUGCUGCCCAAACGCUAUCAACUCGUAGCCGAAUGGCGCUGACUGCUGCAACACUGCAACCAUCUCUGGAGGAAGUAGACGGCAACGCCUCAAGCCUGGGCAAAGCGAGUUAUCCAGUGUGCUGGGUCAGUGAAGCUGGAUGGGCUGCAGAGAGAACAUCGCGUUCAGGCGGCGUGGAAACGGAGACGCGCGGAGGAAACCGAGGAAGAAAGGCGCAGCGCACAGAACCAUUCUGGAUCUUACAGACCGAGCCACCUUGACACAUGUAUAAAGGUGGAAGACCAGAAGCUUACACUUGAAGUGCAUCACAGCAGAUGGUAUCAGAGUAUCAGCUUUCCUAUUUGACACUGGCUCAGCAACAACCUCAUACUCAACGUCAGCAAGAGUAAGGGGCUGGUUAUUGACGUCAGGAGGAGGAAAUCAGAGGUCUGCAAGCCAGUCCUCAUUAGGGGAUCAGAUGUGGAAAGGGUCAGCAACUCUAAGUUCCUCUGUGUUAUCAUUUCAGGGGCCCAGCAUGUAAGUGCAAUUACAAAGAAAGCACGGCAGAGCAUCUGCUUCUUUAGAAGUUUGCAAAGAUGCCGCAUGACUUCCAAAAUUUUGAAAAACUCCUAUUUAUGUGUCGUGGAGAGUAUAUUGACUGGUUGCAUCACAGCCUGGUAUGGAUACACCAAUACCCUUGAAUGGUAAAUCCUACAAAGUGUAAUGGAUACAGCCCAGUCCAUCACAGGUAAAGCCCUCUCCACUAUUGAGCACAUCAACACAGAGGAGCGAAGGAGCAUCCAUCAUCAGGGACCCCACAACCCAGGUCAAGCUCUCUUCUGCUGCCAUUAGGAAAAGGUAUCAGAAGCAGAGGAGCAUUUGAUAGCUCUAAGCCCACGAGGGGAUAUUUCAUUGAAAGGCCUAGAUUGUGGACAUGGAGAGGAUAUUUUCCGUAAGGGGUGAGUCUCGGACCAGAGGGCAAAGCCUCAGAAAAGAGGGACACUCAUUUAGAACAGAGAUGAGGAGGAAUUCCUUUAAGCAGAAGUUGGUGAAUCUGUGGAAUUCAUUGCUACAGAUAGCUGAAGAGGCCAAGGCAUUGAGUUUGAUAGGCACUUGAUUAGUCAGGGUAUCAAAGGUUACAGGGAGAAAGCAAGAGAACGCGGUUGAGGGGGAUAAUAUAUCAGCCACAAUGGAAUGGCGGAGCAGACUUGAUGGGUCGAAUGGCCUAAUUCUGCUCCUAUGUCUUAUGGUCUUAUAAUAAUGGACAAUAUUAAUGAACAUCACAUCAGAACCUUAAAAUUCCCUUGAUAAAUCUAUCUCUAAGAGGCUCCCUUUAAACCUUUUUUGACUUUAUAUGUCUGUCUGUGGUUUGGUGUUUAGUUUGAUGACCUGUGGAAAUUAAUCAUUUUGAAACUCUCGUAGAAAUGCGGGUUAUUAUAAUUGCUCAUCUGGAGGUUGCUUGUGGGUUCACCAUAUCUUUAAACAACAGCUGUAAUCACAAAGUGUGACUCUUGAUAUGUUGUAUUUGGAAGCAUUAUUUCUGAUUUGCAUAAUGGAUAGUUUGCUGACAGUUGUAGUUAAUGUUCCUGUACUUGCAGCGACACUGAGAAAACAAACUGACUGUUACUGCUUGAUGUGUUACAGAGGUUUCCAACCUGGGGUCCACGGGCCCCUCAGUUAAUCAUCGGGGUCCAUGGCAUAAAGAAGGUUGGGAACCCCUGGAUAAGCAGGACAUUGAUGAAGAGUGAGGAAAAUAGAGGGCAGGGUCUCUUAAGUAAAGUAGUGAUGAGGCAGUUUGUGGACAUGUCAGAGAUAAUGGGAGCUUGAAGCAUCACUUGCCUGAGACAUUUGCCUCAUAAGGAACAAGUGGAAUUGUUUCUUCAGUUGAAUGGGAUGAUAACAGCCCCGGGACUACAUCUAGAGAGCACAGGAACAUGGCAGUGAGAGAUGGGGGGAAAGCAAUCUUGCUGUUGUCAGUUGGGCUGAAGAUGAAUGAGUCAAUUAACACCAGGAUCUUCUCAUGAGGAAUCAUGUGGGAACAUACUGCAGCCCUUAAAGAGGAUUCAAAAGAAAAUAGUUGGAAAUUUUCAAAAGAAUGUAGACAAAAACUAUUUAUUACAGGAAACGUAAUAGUUCAGGAAGCAUUAAUCAUUAGAUAUACUGGGCAACAGUUUUUACAAAAGUGUUGCUUCCUCAGAAAUUUUAUUCACUAUAGACUGCUUGAAGCUGAACACAAAUAUAAUUUCAGACUACUUGUAUCAUGCAGGAAUCUGGAGAGACAAGAAUUUAACUUCUAUUGAAUAUAAUAUGUUUAAUUGCAUAACAUUGCUGAUGCUUUGCUAUAGUUCAACUAAGCUAAAAAUGUUUUGUUAAUGGCUUUCAUUUGUACUGCUGCUGUAAAGUUAAUAAAUUUCACGAUAUA